GAGUGAUGUGAGUGUUUUUCAUUUUGGUUUAUGGGAUGAAUCAAAAGGGUCUAGAAUUUGCAAUCACUUAGGAAUGGGGUAGAAUGAAGAGGAUGGAUCCAUGUAUGCAUGAAUUGCUCCUAGUCUUAGAUAAAUUUUGCAUAAUGAUCAAGCUCUUUGAUUCUUGAGUGUUUGCCACCUUAAAAUGAUUGCAUUGAACCCUCCUCUUCAUCCAUAUUAGACCAUUUGAUCACCUAGCCAAAUGAUUGAGAUCAUGUGCCCAUCUCUGAGAAUUCACCUUGUGUGUAUGUGUGAAUCAAUGUGAGGGUUGGUGGAGAGAGCAUGUUGGUUGAAAAGCAUUGCAUCUUGUAUAGAGACAUAAGAGUAGUUAUAGGCCUAGAGAAGCUAGAUUAUAAUAAGAGAGUGUGUUCAUGCUAUUUGCUAUGUUUCUUUAGGAUGUCAAGUUGAGU
rnacentral:lncRNA from 1 species